rnacentral:rRNA from 1 species
GAGUAUCAAUUGGAGGGCAAGUCUGGUGCCAGCAGCCGCGGUAAUUCCAGCUCCAAUAGCGUAUAUUAAACUUGUUGCAGUUAAAAAGCUCGUAGUUGAAUUUCUGCUGUAUCGUUUUYCUYUGCUUGACAGWUGGAUUUYGUUAUGGSUUARUUGGGUUMCWGUUUYYGUUACCUGACGUUUACUUUGAGAAAAUUAGAGUGCUUCAAGCAGGCUUUUGCCUUGAAUACUUUAGCAUGGAAUAAUGGAGUAGGACUUUGGUUCUAUUUUGUUGGUUUUAGGAGCCAGAGUAAUGGUUAAUAGGAACAGUUGGGGGCAUUCGUAUUUGACUGUCAGAGGUGAAAUUCUU